AACGAACGCUGGCGGCAUGCCUAACACAUGCAAGUCGAACGAAACCAUCGGGAGUUGUGGCGCACGGUUGCGUAACGCGUGGGAAUCUACCCUCAGGUUUGGCAUACCUCAGAGACAUUUGAGAUAACACCGGAUGAUGACGUAUGUCCAAGGAUUUAUCGAAUGAGGAUGUGCCAGAGUAGGAUAAGGUAGUUGGUGAGGUAAAGGCUCACUACGCCGACGAUCCUUAGCUGGUCUGAGAGGAUGGUCAGCCACACUGGGACUAAGACGCGGCCGAGACUCCUACGCGAGGGAGCAGUGGGGAAUAGUGGACAGUGGGGGGAGGGAUGAAGCAGCAAGGCCGCGUGAGUGAUGAAGGCCGUGGGGUUGUAAAGCUCUUGUACCCGUGAUGAUAAUGACGGUACCGGGAGAAUAAGCUCCGGCUAACUCCGUG
rnacentral:rRNA from 1 species